rnacentral:tRNA from 1 species
AAUAGGUUGGCAGAUUAGUGCAAUUGAUUUAGGAUCAAUAUAUAGAAAUAAAACUCUACCUAUUA